rnacentral:antisense_RNA from 1 species
CUUCACCGAGCCGAGCCACAGCGGCUGUUCGACAUCCCGGCCCUGACCGUAGGUGGCCAGCAGCGCCUGCGCCUC